AUGCAGUCGAGCGGUAACAGGGGUAGCUUGCUACCCGCUGACGAGCGGCGGACGGGUGAGUAAUGCAUGGGAAUCUGCCCGAUAGUGGGGGAUAACUCGGGGAAACCCGAGCUAAUACCGCAUACGUCCUACGGGAGAAAGCAGGGGAUCUUCGGACCUUGCGCUAUCGGAUGAGCCCAUGCCGGAUUAGCUUGUUGGUGAGGUAAUGGCUCACCAAGGCAACGAUCCGUAGCUGGUCUGAGAGGAUGAUCAGCCACACCGGGACUGAGACACGGCCCGGACUCCUACGGGAGGCAGCAGUGGGGAAUAUUGGACAAUGGGGGAAACCCUGAUCCAGCCAUGCCGCGUGUGUGAAGAAGGCCUUCGGGUUGUAAAGCACUUUCAGUGGGGAAGAAUGCCUUGAAGUUAAUACCUUCGAGGAAAGACAUCACCCACAGAAGAAGCACCGGCUAACUCCGUGCCAGCAGCCGCGGUAAUACGGAGGGUGCAAGCGUUAAUCGGAAUUACUGGGCGUAAAGGGCGCGUAGGCGGCUCGUCAAGCCGGAUGUGAAAGCCCCGGGCUCAACCCGGGAACGGCAUUCGGAACUGGCUGGCUAGAGUGCAGGAGAGGAAGGUAGAAUUCCCGGUGUAGCGGUGAAAUGCGUAGAGAUCGGGAGGAAUACCAGUGGCGAAGGCGGCCUUCUGGACUGACACUGACGCUGAGGCGCGAAAGCGUGGGUAGCAAACAGGAUUAGAUACCCUGGUAGUCCACGCCGUAAACGAUGUCGACCAGCCGUUG
rnacentral:rRNA from 1 species